rnacentral:rRNA from 1 species
CCUACGGGAGGCAGCAGUGGGGAAUAUUGCACAAUGGGGGAACCCCUGAUGCAGCAACGUCGCGUGAGUGAUGACGGCCUUCGGGUUGUAAAGCUCUGUCUUCAGGGACGAUAAUGACGGUACCUGAGGAGGAAGCCACGGCUAACUACGUGCCAGCAGCCGCGGUAAUCCGUAGGUGGCGAGCGUUGUCCGGAUUUACUGGGCGUAAAGGGGGCGUAGGCGGACUUUUAAGUGAGAUGUGAAAUACUCGGGCUCAACUUGAGUGCUGCAUUUCAAACUGGAAGUCUAGAGUGCAGGAGAGGAGAAUGGAAUUCCUGGUGUAGCGGUGAAAUGCGUAGAGAUUAGGAAGAACACCAGUGGCGAAGGCGAUUCUCUGGACUGUAACUGACGCUGAGGCUCGAAAGCGUGGGGAGCAAACAGGAUUAGAUACCCGAGUAGUC